rnacentral:lncRNA from 1 species
CGAAACAUUCCAUUUAGAUCUGAGGUGUUGGGUAUUGCAGAACCGUAGCUUCUGAAGCUAUUUCACCCGAUGUUGUCGCCAGCCACACCUAGUAUAUGCGAAUAGAUAUAGAGGAAAUUUGUUGGAGAGACAAAGAGAGUUUAUUUUCUUAAAGCUUAAUUUCUCAGAUACACUCCACACUAUUUUCUUCUGUCACUUUCACUCUCUCAUCUAAAAAAUAAAUCUUAUUGGCCCUCUUAACUAUUUAAUUAUAUCAUCUACACCCCAUUUGUUACUAAUCUAUUUGAAAUAUUGAUGAAAAUCGAUCACGUAUUGUUCACGUGCUUCAAUUAAAUAUCCUUAUAUCCAAAAUACUUAAUUUUUUUAACAUAAAUAAGUCAAUAUUACAUAUACAUGCUUAUACAGCCAUUGUGAGAACAAAUCUAACCCUUAUUAAUAAGCCUUUAUAUAAAGCGUUGACUUAUUUUUCACAAACAAAUAAGGAUAUUUUGGACAUAAAAGCAUAUAAUUAAAGCACAUGAUCGAUUUU